rnacentral:rRNA from 1 species
UGAGUAACACGUGAGUGACCUGCCUUUUAGACUGGAACAACUUACCGAAAGGUGAGCUAAUGCCGGAUGAGUUAUAUAAGUGCAUGUUUAUAUAGGAAAAGUUGGGGAGACCUGACGCUGAAAGAUGAACUCGCGUCCCAUUAGCUAGUUGGUAGGGUAAUGGCCUACCAAGGCGACGAUGGGUAGCCGGCCUGAGAGGGUGGCCGGCCACACUGGGACUGAGACACGGCCCAGACUCCUACGGAAGGCAGCAG